UAUACAGUCCUCCCCCUCCUGCCUCUGUUUAAAAUAAAACACCGCAACAGAAAAUAUAAAGCUUCUCCGAUUAACCGUUUAGGUGCAGAUCCCAAUGUAUAACGUCUGUGUGUUCCUAUAAGGACUAGAUUCUCUAGCCCUGUAGUGCAGCCAUACGUUAUAGAUGCAGCUGCAAGUGCUCAAAGCUUAAACACUAUUUUCCGAAAGCCCGAGCCCCCAGCCUGAGAGGAAGGUUGGGAUGGGCUGGGGAUAGAGUCUCUCGAAUGUUACUCCUAUAGUUUCAAGGACAUCUUGCUGAUGAGGAUUUGGUUAAUGGAGGAGAACUUAUGUCCUAGCGGUGACGUCAUUGGGUCCCAAUGUAAUCCUCUUGUGCUGAACCCAAUCAGCAGAUGUGCUGAGAGCCUGGACGGAGGGAAGAAGCGCUAAUCCUUUAGACUGGAUGAGAUCAGCUGAAACAGCCAGGACUAGACCCAAAAACCCCUCUGCUAGGAAGAUCAAGAGAAAAGGGAUAAAUUGAGAGAGACGCCUCAUAACCCCUUUAAAGAGCUUUGGAGAAGAGACGAGCAGGAGAAUGGAAAGAUGCGUGGUGCACCCAUACAAGUUCAUCUGGCUUUUUCCACGCCGAGCGGGAGCCUGAUUUUCACUCUGAUGAGGUCUUUCUUCAUUGUUCCAGGGGGAGGAAGAGAGAGAGAGAGAGAGAGAGAGGUCUAAAAUUCAAAAGAUAAUGAGAGACUAGGCGCUUUUCUUAUUCAUCUCUAGCCCGCAUACACAAAACAAGCAUGCUGAACCACGGGAGGGCGUCCGCACUGGAUCUGAAAGGACGCGGAGUUUCUGCCGCCUAGCCACAGAGGGCUGCUUCCAUUGGAAUGGGGUCUCCGAUCAUCAAGACACAGCGGACCGCAUCCCGACUUGCGUAGGCCAACUCCCAACCCUACGGGAGCUUGCUCCGAGCUGGCCCCAGACACGUGCGUGGAGGAAGAGACAGACACACGAAGACACGGGGGGCAGAGGCAUCCCCCAAAGUGGGGAUAAUUCCUUGGCUCAGUCCGUAAUGAGGGAAGAAAAAGACCUCACCCACUAACCCGACAGAGGAGAGACGUCAAAGCAAUAUUCACGGAGCUGCCCCCUUCUCAAACUGCUGCACAGUGUUUUGGUCGAAUGCCCAAGAGAGACCUCUCCAGAGAAGCAGCACCUGUUUCCAUGAUUUUCCUGUCUUCUAUUCCAGUCUGACUUUACUUUGGAAACCCUUUGGAGUUUGGCAGGACAAGUAGCCACUGCCUCCCUGUGAGCAACUAACAAGAGCUGCUGUCACAGUCUCUCACCCAAUGUCAACUCAGCACCUUCUGCUGCUCUUAUUGUUGACAUCAGCUCUCUGCAGGUUCUGAGACGGGGUGACACUAGAACAGCGAGUGACAAACGAAGUACCAUGGGACAAGAAGAAAGGGCACAUUACCCCAGGCAAGUUGGAGAGUUUUUCCAAAUGGGAUUUCACUGGUCUAUAAUAAAUGUUCCAGUCGUAAAAGUGGAGAGUCUCAGUGCUUAAAGAAACACAGGA